GAUGAACGCUGGGGGCGUGCUUAACACAUGCAAGUCGAACGAAGCUACCCAAAGGAAGUUUUCGGAUGGAAUUUAGGUAGACUUAGUGGCGGACGGGUGAGUAACGCGUGGAUAACCUGCCUUAUACAGGGGGAUAACGGAGAGAAAUUUCCGCUAACACCGCAUAAGACCACAGCACCGCAUGGUGCAGGGGUAAAAUAUUUAUAGGUAUAAGAUGGAUCCGCGUCCGAUUAGCUAGUUGGUGAGGUAAAGGCCCACCAAGGCGACGAUCGGUAGCCGGCCUGAGAGGGUGAACGGCCACAUUGGGACUGAGACACGGCCCAAACUCCUACGGGAGGCAGCAGUGGGGAAUAUUGGACAAUGGGGGAAACCCUGAUCCAGCGACGCCGCGUGAGUGAAGAAGUAUUUCGGUAUGUAAAGCUCUAUCAGCAGGGAAGAAAAUGACGGUACCUGACUAAGAAGCCCCGGCUAACUACGUGCCAGCAGCCGCGGUAAUACGUAGGGGGCAAGCGUUAUCCGGAUUUACUGGGUGUAAAGGGAGCGCAGACGGCAAUGCAAGUCUGAAGUGAAAGGCGUGGGCUCAACCCAUGAACUGCUUUGGAAACUGUAUAGCUUGAGUGUCGGAGGGGUAAGCGGAAUUCCUAGUGUAGCGGUGAAAUGCGUAGAUAUUAGGAGGAACACCGGAGGCGAAGGCGGCUUACUGGACGACAACUGACGUUGAGGCUCGAAGGCGUGGGGAGCAAACAGG
rnacentral:rRNA from 1 species